GCAUGGCUGAGUUCUGCAGACCCUCAGGCCUUGGCUUCAACGUUGCCUCGUCCAAGAGGCCUUCCUCGACUACUUUACUUGUGGAGUUCCUCUAUCACAAGGCCUCUGUUCUUUCCCUUCAUGGAGAAUUUGCCACUGCAUAUCCAUUUGUGUAAUUUACUUGUUGGUUGACUGUGCCUCCCACUCGAGUGUAAGCUCAUGAGGCCAGGUGCCAUGCCUGGUUCAGUCUCCACUCUGUA
rnacentral:lncRNA from 10 species